rnacentral:rRNA from 1 species
GACGAACGCUGGCGGCGUGCUUAACACAUGCAAGUCGAACGGAAAGGCCCGCUUGCGGGUACUCGAGUGGCGAACGGGUGAGUAACACGUGGGCAACCUGCCCUCAGCUCUGGGAUAACUCCGGGAAACCGGUGCUAAUACUGGAUAGGACUUCGCAUCGCAUGGUGUGGGGUGGAAAGUUUUUCGGCGGAGGAUGGGCCCGCGGCCUAGCAGCUUGUUGGUGGGGUAAUGGCCUACCAAGGCGACGACGGGUAGCCGGCCUGAGAGGGCGAACGGCCACACUGGGACUGAGACACGGCCCAGACUCCUACGGGAGGCAGCAGUGGGGAAUAUUGCGCAAUGGGCGAAAGCCUGACGCAGCGACGCCGCGUGAGGGAUGACGGCCUUCGGGUUGUAAACCUCUUUCAGCUCUGACGAAGCGAAAGUGACGGUAGGAGCAGAAGAAGCACCGGCCAACUACGUGCCAGCCGCCGCCGUAACAC